AGGCCCUUUAACGUGUUUUCUCACAGGGAUCGAUGCAGAAUCAACUGAAUUCGGCCGAAAACAGCCAACUCGAGGAGGAUCACCGCCGCCCGUGGCGGCGCCGUCAUUGGAGCACGGCGGAGCCACCGUGCUGGAAUUCUGAAAUUGACCAAGUGGUUCCCAUGACUGAUUUUAGAUUUGUUUGGGAUAUUUUUAAGUACUAUUAGCGCGUUUUAA
rnacentral:lncRNA from 1 species